rnacentral:lncRNA from 1 species
AAGACUAGUUGCUGAGACACCCUUUUGUUGGUUUUUGAUGUCAGAAGACAACAGUUAUAAUAUCACGGAUACUUGAAUAAGGCUCUGGUUAGGCUUUAUUUUUUCCUGUUGGAGUUGAACAAUCGCAAGUUCAAACAAAAAUAAAUUGCAAUGGAACUCAUGGAUAUGCUUUGAGAAUUAGAAAAAACAGCGAGUCUCGGUAAAUUUGAAAUACUAUAUAAAAGAUCUAUUCGAUGCUGGGGAAGUGUCUUGAAAAAAAAACAAGUCAUUAUACAGUUUCAAAACAAAUGAAAAGAGAAAUUGGUUUGCAGUGAUAUAGAGUAUUCUCACUCUCUAAUCAUCAGAAUGGCUUUCUCAUUAGCAAAUAAGAAGUCCCGAA